GACGAACGCUGGCGGCGUGCCUAAUACAUGCAAGUAGAACGCUGAAGCGAGGAGCUUGCUCUUCUUGGAUGAGUUGCGAACGGGUGAGUAGCGCGUAGGUAACCUGCCUUGUAGCGGGGGAUAACUAUUGGAAACGAUAGCUAAUACCGCAUAACAAUGGAUGACACAUGUCAUUUAUUUGAAAGGGGCAAUUGCUCCACUACAAGAUGGACCUGCGUUGUAUUAGCUAGUAGGUGAGGUAAUGGCUCACCUAGGCGACGAUACAUAGCCGACCUGAGAGGGUGAUCGGCCACACUGGGACUGAGACACGGCCCAGACUCCUACGGGAGGCAGCAGUAGGGAAUCUUCGGCAAUGGGGGCAACCCUGACCGAGCAACGCCGCGUGAGUGAAGAAGGUUUUCGGAUCGUAAAGCUCUGUUGUAAGUCAAGAACGGGUGUGAGAGUGGAAAGUUCACACUGUGACGGUAGCUUACCAGAAAGGGACGGCUAACUACGUG
rnacentral:rRNA from 1 species